UGCAUCCGGCAGUGGAAGUUAUAAGGGUUGCGUUCCACACCCAGUAACUUCCGGGGACGGAUGCGUUCCACCCAAUAAACAUAACGAAGGCACAUAGCCGCGCCUCCUAUGACACACUUCCGGCUCACUGGUAUAAAACAGUGAAAAAGCCGCGAUCAUGGCACAUCACCUCCAUCCAGUGAUGUCCAAGCACCUAGAGGCCAAUGAUAGGGUAAGUGCCGUUUUGACCAAGGGAGGGCUCCGUUUUCGUUGGAAACUAUCUGCGUCCAAUGUGGGGCACACAUCUUUGCUCAUUGCACUGUAUUGUAUCUUUCACUUCAGGCCCCAAAGUGGAAGGUCUAAUUAGACCCUAGAUGGCAAUCUGUCAGUAAAUCCACCAGGGCAUUAUCAUUUGCUGGGAUCACAUGGUCCAGAGUAUAAACAAUAAACACCGUCAGUCUACAUAGGAGAAUUAACCACCCAAGCCCUCAUACAUGGUUAUUCAAAACCAAGUUCAUCUACAUAUGCAUAGAACCUGAAUGGCACUAUAUCUAUGUGUGGAAGUAACAACCACUCUAUGUUAUUGUCAAUAGUGGAACCUACAUGGAUGUGAUGACACAUAUAUGACUGUGGUGUUACAUAUAAAUAAUCUUUAUGUUUUAUUGAAUUUAAAGUUAUGACAUGGUGACCUGUGGUUAUUAGACUGACUUUGGACUCUUUGACGGGGUAUACAGCACUCUGAAUGAUUGUUUCGGACUGCAAACUUACCAAUCUGGACACAAACUGUGGUUCCAACUUGCCAGUGACUGACUGACACAUCUAUCUCUUCUAUCUAAUGUUUAUCUGGUCGGUAUUAGACCAUCUAUUGAUCUUGACUAUCUACUGUUUUGAACUUAGUCCAUAUAUACCUAUUUCUAUGUACCCUGGUGUGAUAUGACUAUAUACUGGUAGCCUAUUAUCUCCUCCUCGGUUCCCUGAUGAACCCCUAAAACAAGUGGGAGAAACGCGUUGGACAGGAGUAUGAGAGAAUAAUUAGCCAACCACCUGCGAGUGGAAAUCACUAAACCCCACCCCCACCCACACUAAACGUAGUGAGGGAUAGUCCUAGGAUGAGGUAGGACUAUUUAGAUAUAGGUAUUCACCUGUUACCCUAUACCCAUCUUUUGAGCACGGUCCUGUGUUGACCAAUUAUACUGCCAGUUAUGGACUUUUAAAAUUUUCGUAUUUUAUAUACAGAAUCAGAAUAAAAGUUAUAUAUUAUUUUUGUAUCACUGCCUUAUUGGAUGUUCCUUAAACUUUACAUAUAUAGUAUAAUUUUUCUCUCCAAGGGCAUCUUUAUCAAUACACCCUAUUAGUGAGAAGUCUCAUGG